CCUACGGGUGGCAGCAGUCGAGAAUCAUUCACAAUGGGGGAAACCCUGAUGGUGCGACGCCGCGUGGGGGAAUGAAGGUCUUCGGAUUGUAAACCCCUGUCAUGUGGGAGCAAAUUAAAAAGAUAGUACCACAAGAGGAAGAGACGGCUAACUCAGUGUCAGCAGCCGCGGUAAUACCGAGGUCUCAAGCGUUGUUCGGAAUCACUGGGCGUAAAGCGUGCGUAGGCUGUUUCGUAAGUCGCGUGUGAAAGGCGCGGGCUCAACCCGCGGAGGGCAGAUGAUACUGCGAGACUAGAGUAAGGGAGGGGGAACCGGAAUUCUCGGUGUAGCAGUGAAAUGCGUAGAUAUCGAGAGGAACACUCGUGGCGAAGGCGGGUUCCUGGACAUUAACUGACGCUGAGGCACGAAGGCCAGGGGAGCGAAAGGGAUUAGAUACCCCAGUAGUC
rnacentral:rRNA from 1 species